CAAAGUGACCGGCCCGACCCCACAGCACCCACUCCCGCCCCGCGCGCGAGGACACUCGGUGGCCAUUGCUUCUUACCCGGUGUUCGCGGCCACGUGGGGAAAGGGUGGGGCUCACAGCUGUCACCAGAGGAGACGCCUCUUGUCCCUUCCGGCCGCCGUACGCGCGCAGGCGCGCUAGUGGCGCCCUGCUUCGUCCUCCCUCAGCCCGCGAGCCACUAGCGGGAGUGACCAAGCUCGACAGCGAUCGCAGGUCAGAGAAACAUGGCAGCAAGGCGAAUUGCACAGGAAACUUUUGAUGCUGUAUUACAAGACAAAGCUACCCGAUAUCACCUGGACCCCAGUGGUGAGGCUGUAGGUGAAGCUCUUCAAUUUAAAGCUCAAGAUCUUCUAAGAACAAUCCCAAGAGCCAGAGCAGAUAUGUAUGAGGACAUUCAUAGAGACAGCAGAUACUCUGUGGGCGGAUCUGCAGCUCACCCUCGAGACACUGGGAGAGAAGGCCUGAGAGGCGAUGUUUUCCCAGGACCUUCCUUCAGAUCAAGCAACCCUUCUGUAAGUGAUGACAACUACUUUCGCAAAGAAUGUGGCCGGUAUCUGGAAUUUUCCCACCCUGAUUCCCGAGACCAGGUCUUUGGCCACAGGAAACUAGGACAUUUUCAUUCUCAGGACUGGAAAUUUGCCCUCCGUGGCUCUUGGGAACAAGACUUUGGCCAUCCGGUUUCUCAAGAAUCCUCUUGGCCACAGGAGUAUAAUCUGGGUCCUUCUGCCCUCCUGGGGGACGUUGGCCCCUCCAGGCUGAUGGAGAAAGAGAGUCGCGAUUAUGAUGUGGACCGCCCAGGGGAGGCCGACUCUGUGCUCAGGGCCAGUGGCCAAGUCCAGGGCAGAGGCCGAGGUCUAAACAUUGUUGACCAGGAGAGUGCCCUCCUAGGAAAGGGGGAAACUCAGGGCCUGCUCACGUCAAAGGCAGGAGUCACAAAGCUUGUUGCACUGAGAAGUGUGAGCACAAAGAAAGUACCCACUGUAAAUCGUAUCACUCCCAAAACUCAGGGCACUAACCAAAUCCAGAAAACCACCUCAAAUCCUGAUGUGACCCUGGGGACAAACCCAGGGACGGAAGAUAUCCAGUUCCCUACUCAGAUCCCCUUGGGGCUCAGUCUGAAGGAUAUUCGGCUCCCCAGAAGAAAGAUGAGCUUCGACCUAGAUAAGUCUGAUGUGUUUUCGAGGUUUGGGAUAGAAAUAAUCAAAUGGGCUGGAUUUCAUACUAUUAAAGAUGAUGUUAAAUUUUCCCAGCUCUUCCAGACUCUCUUUGAACUUGAAACAGAAACCUGUGCUAAAAUGCUUGCCUCAUUCAAAUGCUCCUUAAAACCAGAGCACAGGGAUUUCUGCUUUUUUACCAUCAAAUUUUUAAAGCACUCUGCUUUGAAAACACCCAGAGUCGAUAAUGAGUUUUUAAACAUGCUUUUAGACAAAGGUGCUGUGAAGACCAAAAAUUGCUUUUUCGAAAUCAUAAAGCCCUUUGACAAGUACAUAAUGAGGCUUCAAGACCGGCUUCUUAAGAGUGUUACUCCGCUGCUCAUGGCCUGCAAUGCCUACGAGCUGAGUGUCAAGAUGAAGACCCUCAGUAACCCCCUGGACUUCGCUGUUGCCCUGGAGACCACCAACUCCCUCUGCCGGAAGUCGUUAGCCCUUCUGGGACAGACUUUCUCCUUGGCCUCUUCUUUCCGGCAAGAGAAGAUCUUGGAAGCUGUUGGCCUCCAAGAUAUAGCUCCCUCUCCCGCCGCGUUUCCGAACUUCGAGGACUCGACUCUGUUCGGGAGGGAGUACAUCGAUCACCUAAAGGCCUGGCUGUUCAGCAGUGGGUGUCCUCUCCAGGUCAAGAAAGCCGAACCCGAGCCGACUCAAGACAAGGAGAAAACGCUUCCUCCUACCAAACCAGAAAUUCAGGCCAAGGCUGGGAGAGCUCUGAGUGAUGCCAUCCCACAGCGAGCGGAUCACAAGGUGGUGGACACCAUCGACCAGCUGGUCACACGGGUUGUCGAAGGCAGCCUGUCUCCCAAAGAGAGAGCUCUUCUCAAGGAGGACCCUGCUUAUUGGUUUCUGUCUGAUGACAGUAGCCUGGAGUAUAAAUACUAUAAGCUGAAGCUGGCAGAAAUGCAGCGGAUGAGCCAGACCUUGCCAGGAGCAGAUCAGAAGCCCACCUCGGCAGAGUGCGCAGUCCGGGCCAUGCUUUAUGCCCGGGCGAUCCGGAACCUCAAGAAGAGGCUCCUCCCAGGGCGGCGGCGGGGGGUGCUCUGCACUCAUGGGCUCCGGGGCUGGAAGGCAAGGAGAGCAACUGCUGGCACCCAGGCCCUCCUCUCCUCAGGCGCCAGGCUGAAACCCCACGGCCGCCAGGCUCCAGGCUCCUCACAGGGAAAGCUGCCCCAGCCGGACGUAAAUGCUACUGCCAAGGACUGCCCACCAGACCCAGCAGGACCCUCCAGGGACCCCAGCCCAGAAGCCUCAGGCCCAUCCCCCAAGGCAGCAGUUGUGGAUGUCGCAGAAGGCCCUCAGACCUCCUCUCCCUGCCCAUCUGCUGACGUUGACUUGAAGACAAUGGAGACUGCAGAGAAACUGGCCAAAUUUGUGGCUCAGGUGGGACCAGAGAUUGAACAGUUCAGCAUAGAAAAUAGCACCGACAACCCCGACCUGUGGUUCCUCCAUGACCAAAAUAGCUCAGCGUUCAAAUUCUAUCGCAAGAAAGUAUUUGAACUGUGCCCCUCGAUUUGUUUUUCAUCGCCUCUGCUGAACCUCUGCACCGGCGAGGGAGCCGAUUCCCAGGAGAGUCUCCUGGAGCCUGUCGGUGGGGGAGGAGAGUUUGAGGACAAGCCCCCGCAGCACGAGGCAGAGCCGGAGAGCCCCGACAUGAUGCCUGGGGACGAGGACGACGAGGACGGCGAGGACGCGGACGGUGAGGAGGACGAGGAGGACGGCGAGGAGGCCCCCACCCGCGGAGGGGCUUCCCGGCACGUGCGGGGGACCGCUGAGGCCCAGGGCUCUGGCGCCAGCCCUCCUGCUGACAGUUUCCCGAGCGAGGUGGCGGACGAUGGCCAGGCUGGCACCCCCACCCCGUCCCAGGCCGCCUUGGGGGCCUGCUUCCCUCGGAAGAGGGUCAGCAGCAAGUCCCUGAAGGUUGGCAUGAUUCCAGCUCCCAAGAGGCUGUGUCUCACCCAGGAGCCCACAGUUCAUGAACCAGUUCGCAUUGCCUACGACAGGCCUCGGGGUCGCCCCGUGUCCAGAAAGAAGAAACCCAAGGAUUUUGACUUCACCCAGCAGAAGCUGACUGACAAGAACCUGGGGUUCCAGAUGCUGCAGAAGAUGGGCUGGAAGGAGGGCCAUGGCCUGGGCUCCUGUGGGAAGGGCAUCAGGGAGCCGGUCAGCGUGGGGACGGCCUCAGAAGGGGAGGGGUUGGGCGCCGACGGGCAGGAGCACAAAGAAGACACGUUUGACGUGUUCCGUCAGAGGAUGAUGCAGAUGUACCGACAUAAACGGGCCAACAAAUAGAUGAAAACCAUUGGUGAGAAAGAUAAGGCUUGAAGAGGCAAUUACUCUUAACACGCCACCUCUGUCCCGGAUCGGCCCUGCAGCCUGAGCCCAAUUCCAGGGUCUCUUCCGUGAGGACAACAGGCAUCCGGAAAGUGCUAACCUGCCACUCUGGGUGCUUACUGUCUCUGGCUUGUUUCUGUCCCUGGAAAUCAAAUAGAGAAUUUUAGCGUUUUUGAUCCUUGGUAAAACCUAGAAGACAUUUGUGAUGUUACAAAAUGGAAGUUUUUGGGUUUUUUCUUCUCCUUUUUUUUCUUUUUAAAUCUAAGAAGUUGUGAAUGUUGUUAAUCAUUUAGCAGUGGCAAUAAAUGUAGAGGAAACCCAA